rnacentral:lncRNA from 1 species
AUGAGCCGCCAGUUCAGUUCUCAGUCUGCAUUUAGCUCUAGGAGCAGGAGGGUCUAUAGCACCAGGUCUUCAUCAGGCUUUGGGGGUGGGAGACAGAUUCUGGUGUCUGUGGGUCAGUCGAGGAGGUGUGGAGGUGAUUAUGGUGGUGGGUUCAGUUCCAGGAGUCUCUAUAGUCUGGGUGGUAGUAAAAGCAUCUUUGGGGGCCUAGUGGGGCGAAGUGCCAGUGGUUUCUGCCAGAGUAGAGGGGCAGGAGGAGGAUUCGGAGGAGGAUUUGGGGGAGGAAGAAGCUUUGGUGGAGGUGGCUUUGGGGGUGGCUAUGGUGGAGGUGGCAGAUUUGGAGGUGGUUUUGGGGGCGGAUUUGGCACUAGCAAUUUUGGGCUUGGUGGCUUCGGUCCUUCUUAUCCUCCCGGGGGCAUCCAUGAGGUGACUGUUAACCAGAGUCUCCUGGAGCCCCUUCACCUAGAAGUGGAUCCUGAAAUUCAGAAGAUCAAGACCCAGGAGAGGGAGCAGAUCAAGACUCUCAACAACAAGUUUGCCUCCUUCAUCGACAAGGUGCGCUUCCUGGAGCAGCAGAACCAGGUGCUGCAGACCAAAUGGGAGCUGCUGCAGCAGGUGAACACGUCUACUCGGACCAGCAGCCUGGAGCCCAUCUUUGAGGAGUUCAUCAAUCAGCUGCAGAGGCAGGUGGAUGUUCUGACCAAUGAGCAGUUGCGCCAGAACUCAGAGAUCAGGAGCAUGCAGGAUAUCGUGGAGGACUACAAGAACAAGUAUGAGGAUGAGAUCAACAAACGGACCAAUUCAGAGAAUGACUUUGUUGUUUUGAAAAAGGACGUGGAUGCUGCUUUCAUGGCCAAAUCAGACUUGCAGUCCAGAGUGGACACGCUGUACGGGGAGAUCAACUUCCUGAAAUAUCUAUUUGAUACGGAGCUGUCCCAGAUACAAACCCAUGUCAGUGAUACCAAUGUCAUCUUGUCAAUGGACAAUAACCGCUCCUUGGACUUGGACAGCAUCAUCAAUGCAGUGCGCACCCAAUAUGAAUUAAUUGCACAGAAGAGCAAAGACGAGGCUGAGGCACUGUACCAAACCAAGAGAAUAGCAAGAUGGAGAUCUCAGAGCUUAACCGCAAUGCCCAGAGGCUGCAGGCAGAGAUCGCCAACAUCAAGAAGCAGAUCGAACAGAUGCAUGGAUCCAUUUCGGAUGCAGAGGAGAGGGGAGAAAGAGCUCUCCAGGACGCCAAGCAGAAGCUGCAAGAAACGGAAGAGGCCUUGCAGCAGAUGAAAGAGGACCUGGCUAGGCUGCUGAGAGAUUACCAGGCACUGCUGGGUGCCAAGCUGUCCUUGGAUGUGGAGAUCGCCACCUACCGCGAGCUUUUGGAGGGCGAGGAGAGCAGGAUGUCGGGGGCUCUGCAGAGUCAAGUGAGCAUCUGGGCUUUGCCCAGCAAUGAAGGAAAUGAUCUUGGUGAACGACUUCACUGAGAUCCUCAGUCCCAGGUCCCCGUUCCUAAACUGGGCUGCUAG